GGGUGCGGUGGCGCAAUGCUUCCGCAGGUAGUGAGGGUGGUCGGGCCGCCAUCC
rnacentral:ncRNA from 1 species